UACGAAGGGUGCAAGCGUUACUCGGAAUUACUGGGCGUAAAGCGUGCGUAGGUGGUUCGUUAAGUCUGAUGUGAAAGCCCUGGGCUCAACCUGGGAAUGGCAUUGGAAACUGGCGACCUAGAGUGCGGUAGAGGGUAGUGGAAUUCCCGGUGUAGUGGUGAAAUGCGUAGAUAUCGGGAGGAACACCAGUGGCGAAGGCGACUACCUGGCCUGUUCUUGACGCUGAGGCGCGAAAGCUAGGGGAGCAAACGGG
rnacentral:rRNA from 1 species